rnacentral:rRNA from 1 species
GAUGAACGCUGGCGGCGUGCCUAAUACAUGCAAGUCGAGCGAACGGACGAGAAGCUUGCUUCUCUGAUGUUAGCGGCGGACGGGUGAGUAACACGUGGAUAACCUACCUAUAAGACUGGGAUAACUUCGGGAAACCGUAGCUAAUACCGGAUAAUAUUUUGAACCGCAUGGUUCAAAAGUGAAAGACGGUCUUGCUGUCACUUAUAGCUGGAUCCGCGCUGCAUUAGCUAGUUGGUAAGGUAACGGCUUAUCAAGGCAACGAUGCAUAGCCGACCUGAGAGGGUGAUCGGCCACACUGGAACUGAGACACGGUCCAGACUCCUACGGGAGGCAGCAGUAGGGAAUCUUCCGCAAUGGGCGAAAGCCUGACGGAGCAACGGCGCGUGUGUGAUGAAGGUCUUCGGAUCGUAAAACUCUGUUAUUAGGGAAGAACAUAUGUGUAAGUAACUGUGCACAUCUUGACGGUACCUAAUCAGAAAGCCACGGCUAACUACGUG